rnacentral:rRNA from 1 species
AUUNCACAAUGGGGGGAACCCUGAUGCAGCGNCGCCGCGUGAGUGAAGAAGUAUUUCGGUAUGUAAAGCUCUAUCAGCAGGGAAGAAAAUGACGGUACCUGACUAAGAAGCCCCGGCUAACUACGUGCCAGCAGCCGCGGUAAUACGUAGGGGGCAAGCGUUAUCCGGAUUUACUGGGUGUAAAGGGAGCGUAGACGGCGAUGCAAGCCAGAUGUGAAAGCCCGCGGCUCAACUGCGGUAGUGCAUUUGGAACUGUAUGGCUGGAGUGCAGGAGAGGCAGGCGGAAUUCCUAGUGUAGCGGUGAAAUGCGUAGAUAUUAGGAGGAACACCAGUGGCGAAGGCGGCUUACUGGACUGUAACUGACGUUGAGGCUCGAAAGCGUGGGGAGCAAACAGG